AUAAACUUGGAGCUGUUGAUUUGGUCCCAAGGUAACGAUCGAGAUCUUCGAUCACAAUUAGCGACUUGUUCGUUGUUUGUAACAGAAGCGUUUUCAGAUCCGAAUCGUCAGUGACUUUGGAUAAAUCGACGUCGUACACGUCGUAGUUCAGCAAAUUUGCUAUUCCGGCGAUGAACGUUGAUUUUCCGGUGCCUGAAGGUCCG
rnacentral:misc_RNA from 1 species